rnacentral:rRNA from 1 species
UACGGAGGGGCUAGCGUUGUUCGGAAUUACUGGGCGUAAAGCGCACGUAGGCGGCUUUGUAAGUUAGAGGUGAAAGCCCAGGGCUCAACCCUGGAAUUGCCUUUAAGACUGCAUCGCUUGAAUCAUGGAGAGGUGAGUGGAAUUCCGAGUGUAGAGGUGAAAUUCGUAGAUAUUCGGAAGAACACCAGUGGCGAAGGCGACUCACUGGACAUGUAUUGACGCUGAGGUGCGAAAGCGUGGGGAGCAAACAGG